GGCGGGACACGUGGUAUCCUGUCUGAAUAUGGGGGGACCAUCCUCCAAGGCUAAAUACUCCUGACUGACCGAUAGUGAACCAGUACCGUGAGGGAAAGGCGAAAAGAACCCCGGCGAGGGGAGUGAAAAAGAACCUGAAACCGUGUACGUACAAGCAGUGGGAGCACAGAGCAAUCUGUGUGACUGCGUACCUUUUGUAUAAUGGGUCAGCGACUUAUAUUCUGUAGCAAGGUUAACCGAAUAGGGGAGCCGAAGGGAAACCGAGUCUUAACUGGGCGUUAAGUUGCAGGGUAUAGACCCGAAACCCGGUGAUCUAGCCAUGGGCAGGUUGAAGGUUGGGUAACACUAACUGGAGGACCGAACCGACUAAUGUUGAAAAAUUAGCGGAUGACUUGUGGCUGGGGGUGAAAGGCCAAUCAAACCGGGAGAUAGCUGGUUCUCCCCGAAAGCUAUUUAGGUAGCGCCUCGUGAAUUCAUCUCCGGGGGUAGAGCACUGUUUCGGCAAGGGGGUCAUCCCGACUUACCAACCCGAUGCAAACUGCGAAUACCGGAGAAUGUUAUCACGGGAGACACACGGCGGGUGCUAACGUCCGUCGUGAAGAGGGAAACAACCCAGACCGCCAGCUAAGGUCCCAAAGUCAUGGUUAAGUGGGAAACGAUGUGGGAAGGCCCAGACAGCCAGGAUGUUGGCUUAGAAGCAGCCAUCAUUUAAAGAAAGCGUAAUAGCUCACUGGUCGAGUCGGCCUGCGCGGAAGAUGUAACGGGGCUAAACCAUGCACCGAAGCUGCGGCAGCGACGCUGAUGCGUUGUUGGGUAGGGGAGCGUUCUGUAAGCCUGUGAAGGUGUGCUGUGAGGCAUGCUGGAGGUAUCAGAAGUGCGAAUGCUGACAUAAGUAACGAUAAAGCGGGUGAAAAGCCCGCUCGCCGGAAGACCAAGGGUUCCUGUCCAACGUUAAUCGGGGCAGGGUGAGUCGACCCCUAAGGCGAGGCCGAAAGGCGUAGUCGAUGGGAAACAGGUUAAUAUUCCUGUACUUGGUGUUACUGCGAAGGGGGGACGGAGAAGGCUAUGUUGGCCGGGCGACGGUUGUCCCGGUUUAAGCGUGUAGGCUGGUUUUCCAGGCAAAUCCGGAAAAUCAAGGCUGAGGCGUGAUGACGAGGCACUACGGUGCUGAAGCAACAAAUGCCCUGCUUCCAGGAAAAGCCUCUAAGCAUCAGGUAACAUCAAAUCGUACCCCAAACCGACACAGGUGGUCAGGUAGAGAAUACCAAGGCGCUUGAGAGAACUCGGGUGAAGGAACUAGGCAAAAUGGUGCCGUAACUUCGGGAGAAGGCACGCUGAUAUGUAGGUGAAGUCCCUCGCGGAUGGAGCUGAAAUCAGUCGAAGAUACCAGCUGGCUGCAACUGUUUAUUAAAAACACAGCACUGUGCAAACACGAAAGUGGACGUAUACGGUGUGACGCCUGCCCGGUGCCGGAAGGUUAAUUGAUGGGGUCAGCGCAAGCGAAGCUCUUGAUCGAAGCCCCGGUAAACGGCGGCCGUAACUAUAACGGUCCUAAGGUAGCGAAAUUCCUUGUCGGGUAAGUUCCGACCUGCACGAAUGGCGUAAUGAUGGCCAGGCUGUCUCCACCCGAGACUCAGUGAAAUUGAACUCGCUGUGAAGAUGCAGUGUACCCGCGGCAAGACGGAAAGACCCCGUGAACCUUUACUAUAGCUUGACACUGAACAUUGAGCCUUGAUGUGUAGGAUAGGUGGGAGGCUUUGAAGUGUGG
rnacentral:rRNA from 1 species